GGCCGUCGUCAGUUCGUACUGUGAAGCAUCCUGUUAAGUCACGGCAACGAGCGAGACCCACGCCCACAGUUGCCAGCGUACUCUCCGGAGUGACGGGUACACUGUGGGGACCGCCGCUGCUAAAGCGGAGGAAGGAAUGGGCAACCGGUAGGUCAGUAUGCCCCGAAUAUCCCGGGCUACACGCGAGCUACAAUGGUUGGUACAAUGGGUAUCUACCCCGAAAAGGGGACGGGAAUCUCCUAAAACCAAUCUUAGUUCGGAUUGAGGGCUGCAACUCGCCCUCAUGAAGCUGGAAUCCGUAGUAAUCGCGUUUCAACAGAACGCGGUGAAUACGUCCCUGCUCCUU
rnacentral:rRNA from 1 species